UGGGGAAUAUUGGACAAUGGGCGCAAGCCUGAUCCAGCAAUGCCGCGUGUGUGAAGAAGGCCUUCGGGUUGUAAAGCACUUUUAUCAGGAGCGAAACGCUGUCGGCUAAUACCCGGCGGAACUGACGGUACCUGAGGAAUAAGCACCGGCUAACUUCGUGCCAGCAGCCGCGGUAAUACGAAGGGUGCAAGCGUUAAUCGGAAUUACUGGGCGUAAAGCGUGCGUAGGCGGUUUCUUAAGUCUGCUGUGAAAUCCCCGGGCUCAACCUGGGAAUGGCAGUGGAUACUGGGAGGCUAGAGUGUGUCAGAGGGUGGUGGAAUUCCCGGUGUAGCGGUGAAAUGCGUAGAGAUCGGGAGGAACAUCNGUGGCGAAGCGGCCACCUGGGACAACACUGACGCUGAGGCACGAAAGCGUGGGGAGCAAACAGGAUUAGAUACCCUGGUAGUCCACGCCCUAAACGAUGCGGACUGGAUGUUGGUCUCAACUCGGAGAUCAGUGUCGAAGCUAACGCGUUAAGUUCGCCGCC
rnacentral:rRNA from 1 species